rnacentral:rRNA from 1 species
CGCUAGCUACAGGCUUAACACAUGCAAGUCGAGGGGCAUCAGGAAGAAAGCUUGCUUUCUUUGCUGGCGACCGGCGCACGGGUGAGUAACACGUAUCCAACCUGCCCUUUACUCGGGGAUAGCCUUUCGAAAGAAAGAUUAAUACCCGAUAGCAUAAUGAUUCCGCAUGGUUUCAUUAUUAAAGGAUUCCGGUAAAGGAUGGGGAUGCGUUCCAUUAGGUUGUUGGUGAGGUAACGGCCCACCAAGCCUUCGAUGGAUAGGGGUUCUGAGAGGAAGGUCCCCCACAUUGGAACUGAGACACGGUCCAAACUCCUACGGGAGGCAGCAGUGAGGAAUAUUGGUCAAUGGGCGCUAGCCUGAACCAGCCAAGUAGCGUGAAGGAUGAAGGCUCUAUGGGUCGUAAACUUCUUUUAUAUAAGAAUAAAGUGCAGUAUGUAUACUGUUUUGUAUGUAUUAUAUGAAUAAGGAUCGGCUAACUCCGUGCCAGCAGCCGCGGUAAUACGGAGGAUCCGAGCGUUAUCCGGAUUUAUUGGGUUUAAAGGGAGCGUAGGUGGACUGGUAAGUCAGUUGUGAAAGUUUGCGGCUCAACCGUAAAAUUGCAGUUGAUACUGUCAGUCUUGAGUACAGUAGAGGUGGGCGGAAUUCGUGGUGUAGCGGUGAAAUGCUUAGAUAUCACGAAGAACUCCGAUUGCGAAGGCAGCUCACUGGACUGCAACUGACACCGAUGCUCGAAAGUGUGGGUAUCAAACAGGAUUAGAUACCCUGGUAGUCCACACAGUAAACGAUGAAUACUCGCUGUUUGCGAUAUACAGUAAGCGGCCAAGCGAAAGCAUUAAGUAUUCCACCUGGGGAGUACGCCGGCAACGGUGAAACUCAAAGGAAUUGACGGGGGCCCGCACAAGCGGAGGAACAUGUGGUUUAAUUCGAUGAUACGCGAGGAACCUUACCCGGGCUUAAAUUGCAGUGGAAUGAUGUGGAAACAUGUCAGUGAGCAAUCACCGCUGUGAAGGUGCUGCAUGGUUGUCGUCAGCUCGUGCCGUGAGGUGUCGGCUUAAGUGCCAUAACGAGCGCAACCCUUAUCUUUAGUUACUAACAGGUUAUGCUGAGGACUCUAGAGAGACUGCCGUCGUAAGAUGUGAGGAAGGUGGGGAUGACGUCAAAUCAGCACGGCCCUUACGUCCGGGGCUACACACGUGUUACAAUGGGGGGUACAGAAGGCAGCUAGCGGGUGACCGUAUGCUAAUCCCAAAAUCCUCUCUCAGUUCGGAUCGAAGUCUGCAACCCGACUUCGUGAAGCUGGAUUCGCUAGUAAUCGCGCAUCAGCCACGGCGCGGUGAAUACGUUCCCGGGCCUUGUACACACCGCCCGUCAAGCCAUGGGAGCCGGGGGUACCUGAAGUACGUAACCGCAAGGAUCGUCCUAGGGUAAAACUGGUGACUGGGGCU